CAAUAGCGUAUAUUAAAGUUGUUGCAGUUAAAAAGCUCGUAGUUGGAUUUCUGCUGAGGACGAUCGGUCCGCCCACUGGGUGAGUAUCUGGCUCGGCCUUGGCAUCUUCUUGGAGAACGUUGCUGCACUUGACUGUGUGGCGCGGUAUCCAGGACUUUUACUUUGAGGAAAUUAGAGUGUUUCAAGCAGGCGCACGCCUUGAAUACAUUAGCAUGGAAUAAUGAGAUAGGACCUUGGUUCUAUUUUGUUGGUUUCUAGAGCUGAGGUAAUGAUUAAUAGGGAUAGUUGGGGGCAUUCGUAUUUAACUGUCAGAGGUGAAAUUCUUGGAUUUGUUAAAGAUGGACUACUGCGAAAGCACUUGCCAAGGAUGUUUUCAUUGA
rnacentral:rRNA from 1 species